GACGAACGCUGGCGGCGCGCUUAACACAUGCAAGUCGAACGGAAAGGCCUGCUUUCCCUUGUGGAUUGCGGGUACUCGAGUGGCGAACGGGUGAGUAACACGUGAGUGAUCUGCCCCCAACUUGGGUAUAAGCCUGGGAAACUGGGUCUAAUUCCCGAUAGGACUGCAGGGUGGUGCCUGUGGUGGAAAACGAUUUUCUAGUGGUUGGGGAUGAGCUCGCGGCCUAUCAGCUUGUUGGUGGGGUAAUGGCCUACCAAGGCGGCGACGGGUAGACGGCCUGAGAGGGUGGACGGCCACAUUGGGACUGAGAUACGGCCCAGACUCCUACGGGAGGCAGCAGUGGGGAAUAUUGCACAAUGGGCGGAAGCCUGAUGCAGCGACGCCGCGUGGGGGAUGACGGCCUUCGGGUUGUAAACUCCUUUCGACCGCGAGGAAGCCACCUGGUUGGAAGGGUGGUGACGGUAGUGGUAGAAGAAGCACCGGCUAACUACGUG
rnacentral:rRNA from 1 species